UCAAACGAGCAAAAGAUACGCUAUCUAGGGCACAAAAAUGGACGAUCUUUUCGAAAACAUCUAAACCCAUAUAUCCCUCCAAUUCUCUCUUUUCACUAGUUCUCUUCCAUGGAUAAUCUUGGGGAAGCUGUCUGCAGUUCGGCGGGCGGUGAGAUACAUACCGAGGUAAUAGAUGCCAACGAGAAUAAACAACAUCAUGUUGAAGAUGAUAUAAACAAAAUCAAGACAGGAGAAGAACAUCACGUUUCACCUGUCAACCAAGAAAACGUUUUUGCUGUUCAAGCUGACGAUAAUAAUGGAAACGGCGAAGUUAAAUCAGCUGGUGACGAGUGCGGCGAGAAAGGCGAUGAAAACAGUGAAUCUGGUGAGAAGGUAGUAGAUUUGGAGAAGAAACAACCCAUGAAAAGGGGGAGGAAGAAGUUGGAAGUUGAAAAUCGAGGCGUUGAUGUGGAAAAUCAUGAACUGAAGGAAUGGGUAGGGAGGAGGAAAGUGGGUCGAGUGAGGAAGAAGAGAGAAGAUAUCGAUUAUGUGAUGGGAGAACAAGAAGACCUAGAUGAGCUUAAAGGAAAUGGGAAGGGUGCAAUUGUUAACUUUGAAAUAAAUAAGAGAGGUCGGAAGCGGCGACUUAAUAGGGUUGAGGAGAAUUUUCCCGAAUCGACAAGUGCAUUAAAUAUGGAAGCUGAACAGCUCAAUGCUUCUACACCAAAACCCAGGCGCGGGAUAAAGAAAGACGAGAACGGGAAUGGUAUUUUGUCGAACAUGUGUCACCAAUGCCAGAGGAAUGAUAAAGGGAGGGUAGUUCGAUGCACUCGUUGUAAGAGGAAGCGAUACUGUGUUUUCUGCAUUAAAAAUUGGUAUCCAAAGAUGUCUGAAGAGGAUAUUGCUGCUGCUUGUCCAUUUUGCUGCUUCAACUGCAAUUGCAAGGCCUGCUUGCGUUUGGAUGUACCCAUUGAACUCCAAAAUUUGAAGGCAGAAGUUUCUGAAGAAGACAAGGUCCAUUUCUCAAAAUACAUUUUGCUAGAACUUAUUCCAUUUCUGAAAAAGUUUAACGAGGACCAAACCGUGGAAAAACAAGUUGAGGCUAAAAUUCGAGGCCUGUCAUUGUUGGAAACAAAAGUGCAACAGGUAAAAUCCCCCGAUGAUGAUUCUGAACGUGUUUAUUGCAAUAACUGCAAAACUUCUAUUGUUGACUUCCAUAGAAGCUGUCCAAAUUGUUUAUAUGACCUUUGUCUAGCCUGUUGCCGGGAGCUGCGUAAUGGCCACCUGAAGGGAGGCCAGAAUAUGGUUUUUAAACAAUAUGUUGACAAUGGAUUAGAUUACUUGCAUGGAAAGGGAAUCAAACCUAAAAGUGGCGCUAGUGGAUCUACAAGAAACAGAAAAUCAAAGGAACCAGUUGAAACUAGUACUAUGGAGCACAUUACCCCUAAAUGUGAAUGGAAAGCGAAUGAAGAUGGUAGCAUCCCUUGUCCCUCAGUCAGUGAUGGUGGAUGUGGCCAUGGUAAUCUAGAAUUAAGGUGCACAUUUCUUGAAGAUUUUAUUUCUCAGUUGCUAGUAAAGACGGAAGAGAUUGUGAAAACAUGUGAUUUUAAGGACAUGACUGAAGGAGGAGAUCUAUGUUCCAAUUGCAACGAGGAGAGGAAUUCUGACGACCGCAUUAAAAAAAAUCUAAGAAAAACAGCUUCCAGGGAAGAUUCUGCUGACAACUAUUUGUACUGUCCAAGAGCUAAAGAUAUUCAGCACGAGGACUUGAAACAUUUCCAGUGGCAUUGGUAUAAAGGAGAACCCAUUAUUGUUACUGAUGUCCUUGAAACUACAAAAGGUUUGAGCUGGGAACCAAUGGUAAUGUGGCGUGCAUGCCGCCAAAUGAAGCAUGUUAAUCAUUCAAAGCUCUUAGAUGUAGCUGCUCUCAAUUGCUUGGAUUGGUGUGAGGUGGAGGUUAAUAUUCAUAAUUUCUUUAAAGGAUAUUUGGAGGGGAGAUUUGACAGUAGUGGAUGGCCUCAAAUUCUCAAGUUGAAAGAUUGGCCUCCAUCCAGCUUAUUUGAAGAGCGAUUGCCUCGUCAUGGGGUUGAGUUUAUUAGUAGUUUGCCGUUCAAAGAGUAUACACACCCUCGCGAAGGCUUCCUAAAUCUUGCUGUAAAGUUACCUGAGAAAACAUUGAAGCCUGAUUUGGGCCCCAAAACAUAUAUUGCUUAUGGAGUCACCGAGGAGCUGGGACGUGGAGAUUCUGUCACAAAGCUUCAUUGUGAUAUGUCUGAUGCAGUGAAUAUUUUGACACACACUCAAGGAAUUACCCUUACACCAGAACAUCUUGACUGUAUAAAGAAGUUAAAACGAGAACAUUUUCUUCAAGAUCAAACUGAAAUCUUUGGGAGGAGCCAAAAGGCGGAAAAUGUCACAUUUCUCAAGGACAAUGAUGAAGUAACAAAGCUUUCCCACACUCACACCAGUGAAAAUGCACGAGAUACUUUUACUGGAUUGGAGGGAAAUCCUUCCAGUGUAUCUAAUGGAAUAAAUCGGUUAGACAUUGAUAAAUGUAAAGAAGAUACAAACACCUCUACUGGUAUGUUCGAAGACAAGGACACGAUUGAAGGUGGAUAUGACUCUACAACCAAGAAAACAGAUAAUGCAGAUGUGGUCUAUCAACCAUACCAGGAAGUGAUAAGCACCAUAGGUGAGGGAGGAGAAGGACAGACAAUGGAAGAUUCACCAAAAAAUGUAGCCGAAGCUUCUAAAGCAAGCAUAGUGCUAAAACUGGAGCAAGAUGAAGCUCAUGAAAAUGGCUGUGAAAUUCAAGGAUCAGACUCGAAAGAGCUUGAUAAAGUUGAUGGUGGGGCUCUCUGGGAUAUCUUUCGACGAGAAGAUGUCCCGAAGCUGCAGGAAUAUCUGUUGAAGCAUUUCAAGGAAUUCAGGCAUAUUUAUGGGGCUCCAGUGCAUCAGAUGAUCCACCCCAUUCAUGACCAAACCUGUUAUUUGACUUUGGAACACAAAAGAAAGCUUAAAGAGGAAUUUGGAAUUGAGCCGUGGACUUUUGUCCAACAACUUGGCGAAGCUGUUUUCAUACCUGCUGGGUGUCCACAUCAAGUUAGAAACCUUAAGUCGUGCAUAAAGGUCGCAAUGGAUUUUGUCUCCCCUGAAAAUGUUCAUGAAUGUGUUCGUUUGACGGAGGAGUUUCGUCUACUUCCUCAGAAUCAUAGGGCUCAGGAGGACAAGUUGGAGGUGGAAUGGCGCAUCAAUGGCUAGAGCGACAUGAUCUCGACACUGACGCAUCAUUGGAGAAAAAUUCUUGUUGCUUUUUUGCCGUGAAAAACUAAGUGGCACAAUGUAUCCACAUCGUCUCCUCAUUGUAAAGUGCUCCAUUCUCCAAAGAACAACUAGCCAUGCUUCAGCAAGUCUGUAAUGCACACUAAAAGUAAUCAAUUUUGGAGCUUAUGAGCACGAUUGGUGAAAAAAAGGAAUUGAGCAUCAUGAGGACAAUUGACAAUGCUGAAUUUUAAGCAAUCUAUAUCUUGGAUUUAGCCAAUCUUGCCAUUAGGAUGUGACACUAAAGGUGAAAAAAAUGGCUCUUCAUGCGAUGAUUCAUGCUGUGGAGGAAUUGGACCCGUCUUCCCUUAAGAAGGUUUCAUAUAGUAGUGCAAAGGAAGUCAAGAAAAGGGGUGGUAGGAGGAAGAAGAAGUUGUAGGGACU